GCUCUGGGUUAGUAAUAAACUCAUCUGUUUAUAAAGGGCUACUACUCCUUGACUCAUUCCAAGGCAUAAAGAGUUCCAUGGGUUAUUCAUUGUAUUGUAUCAUCUCCAGGGGUUCCCUAUCUGCGCUCUACGUUGGUAGAGGAGGCUCUGAAAAGGGCUUUAGAACGUACCAAUGCUGCUUACGCCCACACCAAGGAGAGAGUUGAAGACAUCCCUGUCGGAGGGUGCUCUGAGACCCAGCGACCUCCUAGCCCAGUUCAAACAGAUCGGACCCCAGACCAGGAGGCACAUCAGCGCCGCUGAGCUGUGGAAAUACAGUGGAACUGAUCAGAGAGAUGGUCUACACAGUACCAUGGCCCAGUCCAGUCUACCUGACCUGUUGAGUGAGGA